UACGUAGGGGGCUAGCGUUAUCCGGAAUUACUGGGCGUAAAGCGAGCGCAGGUGGUUUAUUAAGUCUGGUGUAAAAGGCAGUGGCUCAACCAUUGUAUGCAUUGGAAACUGGUAGACUUGAGUGCAGGAGAGGAGAGUGGAAUUCCAUGUGUAGCGGUGAAAUGCGUAGAUAUAUGGAGGAACACCGGUGGCGAAAGCGGCUCUCUGGCCUGUAACUGACACUGAGGCUUGAAAGCGUGGGGAGCAAACAGG
rnacentral:rRNA from 1 species